rnacentral:piRNA from 1 species
UGGGAUCUACCUCCUGGAAAGUUCUC